AGAUGAGGUCAAUUCCUGCUGAUGACAUCACUCAGCAUGGAACUACGGUGUAAACCAGAGAAGCAGGACUCUUCCUGGCUGUCACAAAGCCGUAGUACUCGGUCAUGUCGAACACCGGAUUAAACCGGUUCACUGCAACGACACGGACCAUCACUGUGGCAACAGUGUACUUCCUGGGGUCAUCGUCCUGGUAGGCCUGCGUGUAGGACACCCACAAGGAAACGUCCGUGGUUGUCUCCUAGAGUGGAAACCAAUUUUGAGAUUACAAGCACAGUUCUUUGAAGCCUUAUCUUGACUGAACUACCUGAGAGGAUGGCAAAGCUGACUGGCGCUCUGAGACCUCGGUCUCCAUCAACUGCAUGAAUGGGACCGGGAGAAAAAUCCAGAACAAAAUCCUGCAGCACACGACAAUAUUGAGUAAGUUGCCCGGACUGUAAAUGCAACGGUAUUCACUGGAGUGAGCUGGAGAGUACAGUACGUGACAGGAACAGUUUUACUAAUCCUGUAUGCUGAACUAGUCCGAGUCCAGAGUGAGUCAGAGUGACCUACCUCACUGAUAACAACAAAGUAGACCGCGUUGUCUGCAAACUCCGGUAAGUUGUCGUUGUCAUUGAGAACCUCCACCAUGACUCUGGAAACACUCUGGAACAACAACAGUAGAGCUUGGUUCACUUUGGGGAAAGUACAGUGAGGACUGCAAAGUGUACCUGAAGCACAUCAUCCUCAUAACACGACAAUUCUGCCAUCAGGAUGGAACCCUGCAUCUGAAAGACAGGAAGUCACGUUAAGCUUUACAGUCUGGUAGAAGGUUGGAUGGUGGUUUUAUCUGCUUGCUGUCUUGGUUAGCUUUUGUUAGUUGGCUGUUGGAGGUUGGUUGACAUGGUGGUCAUUUGAUUGUUUGUUGGUGUCAUUGUUUGUUGACCACCCACGAUGGUUUGUUCAUGGCUUUUUAUUGAAUUGUUUGGUUUAUUAGUUGCUUCUUUGGUUAGUCUAGCCUUUGGUUGGUUGGUUAGGUGAUGGUUGGUUGGUUAGUUGGGUUGGUAGUUCUGUUGGUAGUUAUUUAGUUAAUUGUUUGGUUAGUUGGUUAACUAUUUGAUUGGUUAUUCAGUUGGUUACUUGCUUUUUCGUUUAAUUGUUUGAUUGGUUGGUUAUUUGGUUUAUAUGUUGGAUUGCUUUGUUAGUUACCGUUUGUUAAUUGCUUUUUUGUAAUGGACCUUUGUUUGGUUAAUUGGUUGUACGGUUUGUAAAUUACUUUUUUUGGUUAGUUGGUUGGUUCGUAAGUUACUUCAGCUCUUUGUAUGUUUUUUGUUGCUUUGAUAGUUAAUUUAUUGGUUGGUUUGUUAUUUGGUUAGUUUAGCUGUUCAUGUAACAAACGGUAGAAAAUGGAUGGUUUGUUAGCUGUUGUUUCUUGGUAAAUGGGUGCUUGGUUGGUUGGUUAGGUUUUUGAUGUACUGUUUGGUGAGUUUGUUCGUUAGGUUUUUAUGAGUUGUUUGUUGCUUGGAUGGUUGUUUAUUGAUUUGUUUCUUCAGUUGGUCAGGUGAUUAAAUAUUACACUAACUCUGCUAAACACAUUUCUAAAAACUGUUAAGUUACAUUCUGUUUUUAAUCACUCAGAGUAAAUUGACAUGCCCAUAAAUUCCAGACUUUAUGAACAAUUCCUUCUUAAUUUGUACAUAAAUUGAACCCAAACAAAACAACAAUGAGUUCUACCCAAUAAAAGACAAACGCUAUAUUUCUAUUGCCUUGUGAGUUGUUUGAUUCUUGCCUUCAUCUUAAAUCUCUGACUGAUUGAGAAAGAAAGAGAGUGACAGUUAAUCUAGUUGACCUUUUCACUUCAGUGUCAACAAGAAAC